rnacentral:misc_RNA from 1 species
GAUGAAGAACGUAGUGAAAUGCGAUAAGUAAUGUGAAUUGCAGAAUUCAGUGAAUCAUCGAAUCUUUGAACGCACAUUGCGCCCGCCAGUAUUCUGGCGGGCAUGCCUGUCUGAGCGUCAUUUCAACCCUCAUGCCCCUAGGGCGUGGUGUUGGGGAUCGGCCAAAGCCCGCGAGGGACGGCCGGCCCCUAAAUCUAGUGGCGGACCCGUCGUGGCCUCCUCUGCGAAGUAGUGAUAUUCCGCAUCGGAGAGCGAUGAGCCCCUGCCGUUAAACCCCCAACUUUCCAAGGUUGACCUCAGAUCAGGUAGGAAUACCCGCUGAACUUAAGCAUAUCAAUAACGGAGGA